UACGUAGGUGGCGAGCGUUGUCCGGAAUUAUUGGGCGUAAAGAGCGCGUAGGCGGCUUGUCAGGUCCGACGUGAAAUCCCGGGGCUCAACCCCGGACGUGCAUCGGAAACCGGCUUGCUAGAGUCUGGGAGAGGGAAGUGGAAUUCCUGGUGUAGCGGUGAAAUGCGCAGAUAUCAGGAGGAACACCGGUAGCGAAGGCUGCUUCCUGGAACAGUACUGACGCUGAGGCGCGAAAGCUAGGGGAGCAAACAGG
rnacentral:rRNA from 1 species